UUUUGUGGAGGGUUCGAUUCUGGCUCAGGAUGAACGCUGGCGGCGUGCUUAACACAUGCAAGUCGAACGGGAUCCAUCAAGCUUGCUUGGUGGUGAGAGUGGCGAACGGGUGAGUAAUGCGUGACCGACCUGCCCCAUACACCGGAAUAGCUCCUGGAAACGGGUGGUAAUGCCGGAUGCUCCAGUUGAUCGCAUGGUCUUCUGGGAAAGCUUUCGCGGUAUGGGAUGGGGUCGCGUCCUAUCAGCUUGACGGCGGGGUAACGGCCCACCGUGGCUUCGACGGGUAGCCGGCCUGAGAGGGCGACCGGCCACAUUGGGACUGAGAUACGGCCCAGACUCCUACGGGAGGCAGCAGUGGGGAAUAUUGCACAAUGGGCGCAAGCCUGAUGCAGCGACGCCGCGUGAGGGAUGGAGGCCUUCGGGUUGUAAACCUCUUUUAUCGGGGAGCAAGCGAGAGUGAGUUUACCCGUUGAAUAAGCACCGGCUAACUACGUGCCAGCAGCCGCGGUAAUACGUAGGGUGCAAGCGUUAUCCGGAAUUAUUGGGCGUAAAGGGCUCGUAGGCGGUUCGUCGCGUCCGGUGUGAAAGUCCAUCGCUUAACGGUGGAUCCGCGCCGGGUACGGGCGGGCUUGAGUGCGGUAGGGGAGACUGGAAUUCCCGGUGUAACGGUGGAAUGUGUAGAUAUCGGGAAGAACACCAAUGGCGAAGGC
rnacentral:rRNA from 1 species